ACCUGACUUUUCCACUCCCAGUAUGUCAUGGGAUUCCUUUUUAUUCUUCAGCCGGAUAUUGGUGUUACCCACAACCUUAAACAAGAGACAGAGUCCUGCUGUUGUGGGGCAGUCUACCUCAUGAUGGGCCCUCUAGCUGAGAGCAGUACACAUCCCCGACCCCAUGCAACCUGGACGCUGGAAGGAGAACUCUGGGAGUCCAGCUUCUUCCACAGUGUGCUUAAUUCUAAUCGUCCCUUGCACUGAUGUAGUACUUUACAACUUAAAGAACACCUUUAUUUUAUUUGAUCACCACAAGUGAGAUGAUCAAAAGUGAUAUGAUGAUCAAGAGCUGGAAACAGAAAGCAAGCCUCCUAAUAGCACCUUUCCAUCCCACUGGGUGCAGAGGGCCCUGAGAAAGCCCAGCUCUCUUGCUGGCUGGAGAAAAGAAGACGUCAUUCACCGGGAACUACAGCUCCCAGCAGACACCAAGGGGAAACAGGUCCGUGCCCCCAGUGCCCAUUCCAGAUUCCCAAAUAUGGAGAAGGACUGGGUUUUGGAAGAGGAACAGAAUGCUCACCCUUGAAAGACAGCGAAGGAGGGUGAGGACGCUUCAGCCCCGGGACGCGGUGGUGAGCACAGCAGACGCGCAAACCCGCCCCAUCGGGCGUACGCGCCGGUCGCCCCUGACGCCCGGGAAAGAGUCCUCCGUGUCGAGGGGCAGCAGGGGCAGAGCCUUGAGAUGGCUGUGGACUUGGUGGUUCGAGGGUAUCCAGUGCAGCUAAAGGCAGGUGGAUGAGGGCCGGGGCAGGAAGGAAUGAAGGCCCAGAGCGAGGCUGGGCCUUCCAAGGAUGGAAGUAUGAAUUUCA